rnacentral:rRNA from 1 species
UAUGGUAUUGUGUGCCACCGCGCGGUACAACGUAGGUCACAAGCGUUGUCCGGAAUUACUGGGUGUAAAGGGAGCGCAGGCGGGAGAACAAGUUGGAAGUGAAAUCCAUGGGCUCAACCCAUGAACUGCUUUCAAAACUGUUUUUCUUGAGUAGUGCAGAGGUAGGCGGAAUUCCCGGUGUAGCGGUGGAAUGCGUAGAUAUCGGGAGGAACACCAGUGGCGAAGGCGGCCUACUGGGCACCAACUGACGCUGAGGCUCGAAAGUGUGGGUAGCAAACAGG